rnacentral:rRNA from 1 species
AUUGAACGCUGGCGGCAUGCCUUACACAUGCAAGUCGAACGGCAGCACGGGAGCAAUCCUGGUGGCGAGUGGCGAACGGGUGAGUAAUACAUCGGAACGUGCCCAAUCGUGGGGGAUAACGUAGCGAAAGCUACGCUAAUACCGCAUACGAUCUACGGAUGAAAGCAGGGGAUCGCAAGACCUUGCGCGAAUGGAGCGGCCGAUGGCAGAUUAGGUAGUUGGUGGGGUAAAGGCCUACCAAGCCGACGAUCUGUAGCUGGUCUGAGAGGACGAACAGCCACACUGGGACUGAGACACGGCCCAGACUCCUACGGGAGGCAGCAGUGGGGAAUUUUGGACAAUGGGCGCAAGCCUGAUCCAGCCAUGCCGCGUGCAGGAUGAAGGCCUUCGGGUUGUAAACUGCUCUUGUACGGAACGAAACGGCGCUUUCUAAUACAGAGCGCUAAUGACGGUACCGUAAGAAUAAGCACCGGCUAACUACGUGCCAGCCGCCGCCGUAAGAC